rnacentral:lncRNA from 1 species
UUAAUAGUAUUAUCUUUUAAGUAAUAAAAAUUCUCAAGACAACCUAUAUAGGUGUAGGUACUCUCCCAAUGUACUUUGAAAAUGAUAAUAACUUUCUCAAUCUACUUUUGGAAAGGAUAAUAAAAAAAAAUUACUCUAAUCAACAUUUUCUACAAGUUGGAAAUUAUUAAAAUAAAAAUAAUACUAAAUUUAAAUCUCCCAUUGCAUCAAUUCCUCCCACUUGAAAAGAACUCGUCCCCGAGGUAUAAUCUGGAUAAUCAAGCACAAUCAGAGGGAAGUAUGUUGUUAAAUUUGACACGUUGAAAGUGGAAGAAACACCCAUACCAGUCGAUAAGUUGAGCACGUAAGCAUUGUCGUUAAUCAUCUGCAAAACACGAAAAGGUCCAUACUCUUCUGUUUGAGCUUGUGAUGUUUGCUGGGCAAAAAUCUCUACUUACGCAAAAACACCAUCACUUUAUCACCAACCUGAAACUGUUUGGCGCACUUAUGUCGUAGUUGUCACGACGCCACGACGAGAUUCAGCGGUAGUUGACUGCCAGAACGUCUAGGCGACAAGACGCCUGUCAUGAUGUUCGUAUGGCGACAAGUCAUUAAUACUGUUUAAUAUAUAUAGUAUUAAUUUUAUUUCAAAAGUAUAUUGAACAAUAAAUUUUAUAUACAUUAAAGCCCAAAACAUAAUAACUAACACUAUAAAAUACAAUUAAAAACACAAUAAUAUGAAUACUUGACAAUAAAAAUUAAAAAGUAAAACAUUUGAUAUUAAAAAUUAGUAGAAUAAAUCAACAAACAUCAUGUAGAAAACAAAGAAUCAACCAAGUCAUUACCCAUCGUACAUUAAUUAAAAAUAAAAUUACAACACAUAACAAGUAUGAUGAGACAUGGGCGAAAAAUGACUUGAUCACUUAACUUGGGCCAAUUACCAAAGAAUGAGCCUUGGCAGCUCGGUGUGGCGUUGCGUCGCGUUGGCCUUCUCCGGCGCCAAGGACGCCUAGGCGUCAUCUAGUCAACUAUGGCUGACACAGAUCAGGAACAACUUUGUACUUGGCGUUUGCAGCCUCCAACUUAUCACGCACCUCUGCUUGAACAUCUGACACCUACUCGGCUAUAGCCACAGCUCUAUAACCUGAUUGCUUAGGCAAAUGUACCAAAUCCAAUAUGCUUAGGUACUUUCCGGUAAACAACUUCGAAAGGAGACAUACCAUGAGUACACUAUUGUAAGCAAACUCAGUCUACUUAAUAGCCAACUCCCAUCGUCGAAUAUUGGGUACGAUUCGCAACAUUCGUGUCUGGUUGUCAGUCCGAGGAUGUGAUGCACUAUUAUAUUUCAGAUGAGUCUCAAAACGACUCCAUAAAGUAAUCCAGAAAGAAGCAAGGAAUUAAGAAUCACGAUCCAAAAUAAUUGACAAUGAGCGAACCACCUCCUAAAAAAAUAACUUAGCAACAUGAAGCAUCAAAAGUUUUUCAACAAGGAAUAAAAUGCACCAUCUUUGAAAACCCGUCAAUAACCACAAAUAUAGAAUUGUUCCCCUUUCUCCCGCAUCCGCCAAAUCUGGAUCAUCAACAUUGUCAAAUUGUUCCUCAUCAUACUGGUGUUAUUGGUUUAAAAUAUCGAUCAUGAUUAGCAUAACCUACUCUUCCUUGAUUCUCACGAUUGUCCCUUGUAGGUUUUGUGUACUGAUCAGAACGAUGCCCAAAUUAUGCACAACAAUUACACUUGCCACUAAAACGAUUCACAUAAGGAUUCUCUCAACAAUCAGUAAUCUACUGCUCCUUCAGCCAUGACCAAUAUUGGGCCAAAGGAUUGGGGGAAGAUCGGUACAAUAUAUUGUACCAGUGUACGUUAUAUUGUAUCGGUCAUUAGUACGGUUUCACAUGGUCAACCUCUUACGACUUCCUUCUUUUCUGUAACACCCACAUCCCGAAAAGGAAAGGGAGGUCACGUGCAAAGUACAACAAACCUCAAAAUAAGUAAACAGAGCACUAAUAACUUCAAAAUAUUAAUAAUGAUGAUCCAUUAAUAAAGUACUAAAUACAAUUCUCCAACUAAAGUCAAAAUAAUCAACACAAAAAAAAAAUUAAAUUGAAUUAACCUAGAUGGUCAAAGGCAACAGUCUCAUCACACUAGCCCUGAAUCACCCCUGCAAACCUGCCGGAAGAAAAACACAACAUGAGCCAAUUGCCCAGUACGAAUAUAGAUACACAAAAGAUAUACAACUGAUAUACGAAAAUAACUGAGACAAAAUACUGAACAAAGCCUCAAGUGUAAAUACUGACGAAAAUAUAAUCUUUAAAGAUCUGAAUGGAAUAUAUCUGAAUCAACAGAAUUGACGAAACCAAAAGAAGAAUAAAGAAAUAACGAACUGAAGUAACUAACUCAAUGAAUUGAGCUGAAUAGAAACAAACAAAACUAAUACAAUGAAAUAAUAGGCUGAAUCAAAUGGUUGAGUAUUUUUUCAUACCGAAUGAGCUCAAAAAUAUACCUUGCCACCCAGGCAAGUCAAAAUAAUGCCACACAGACAAAUCAAAUGAUGCCACACAGGCAAGUCAAAAUAAUGCCACACAGGCACUCACACAUUGGAUCGCGAAUCCAAAUGUAUGCAAAUCAAAUAGGUGUGCUUGGCACAACAUCACCAAUCCGCAGAACAGAAAACUAGGGUUAACCCAUACGCCUCCCACAACAUAACACCAAAUGGCUCACUUCCUUCGGAGCCCAAAACGGAGACGCCGUGGACUAAUCACACCGCCACGGAAAGUGUCAUGUCUCUCGUGCCAAGACGACAUGCCUGUGGUACCCCUACAGGUGGUUAUAGCUCAGGUAUACCCUACGGUAUAUUUUAACAAAAAUACCAUGUCACAACACAUGCGACAUAAUACCAACAAAAGGGUUCUAAAUGUACAUGUUAAACUGAAUCAAAUAAUAGUCAUAAGGUCUCAAAAAGAAGGUAGCAACAUGUACCGCUCUACAAAUAUCAAAAAUAAUUAGUACUAAACAUGAUAACCUAAUUCAAAGAGUACAAAUACGAGUCAUAUGUAUCAACUCAAAAAUGAAACUAAUAUAUUUAUUUCACAAGAAACAAUUAUGUGAAAUUAUAACAGAAUUCGAAAUAAGGGAACAAAUGAACAAAUUAAAUUUAACAAGAGUAUCACUGAAAGAGUACGGAAUCCGUACCUGGAUUAAUCCGUCCAUGGACAUAACCUGUGUAACACCAUCUUGAUUACAGGGUAGAAGGGGAAAAUAUGGAUUUUGAUGAUAAUCAAAGUUGAACCUUCAUAUUCAACAAACAAUAAAGCUAUUAACUUCACUAAUCAGAAUCCUUCAACAGAUAACAUGUGUACUUCUUAAAAAAAAAAUACAAACUUGUCAGACAAAAAAAACAAAUUGCCUUAUUGCAUUGAUGAACUAGCCUCAACUGCAGUUCCUUGAAAUACUCCGAUUGUUGGCUUGGAUUUUUUUUUUAUAAUGCUUUUAAAGAAAACAUACAGUGUACUACUAUUACAUCAUAUACAUGCUCUCCAUAUGUCUAAAUCAAGCUGCUAAAGUCGGACUUAAUUGGAAUGUAUAAUCAUCCUCUAUUAAAAACAUAAUCAACCAAUCCAUAUUAUGUAAAUAUGCUGAACCCCACUUGCAACAGACCAACACUAAAUAUAAAUAAAAAAUUCCCUUUCCACAAUCAGUAUUUGUGUCAACCUUCUUUUCCUAAUUUACUUGCAUCAAACAAAUUUUAGUCACUCAGAACAUCUCUUUAAGUUAAAACAUCAUAACUUGUUUAACAAGCACGAAUUUCAAGGUCAAAAAAAAUGUCAGAAAAGUGUCUUCACAACCAAAAAAAUAAAAAUAACACCCAGAACCAAAACAAGUUUUAUUAUUCCAAACAUCAUGUUGAUUUAAUUUAAACCUAUUACUAAUUCAUCAAGCUCAAAUUUACCAUCAAAUCACCCCCUAAACUCAAAAGCCAGUAUACUAAUCACCUCUUAAUCUAUUAACCCAUUAUAAGUUUCUAAAUAUGCAACAAUUAAGUAAUACCCACAAUUAAAGCGAAUCAGAUAACCUUAGCAGCACCAAGAGUGACAUAAACUGGAAAAUCAGAUUGUAGAACAAUUGGCAACUAGUAUUUGCCAAAUAAUUUCACAAUUAAAGAAAAAAAAAACCCACUUUCAGAAACCAAAUCGAACAAAGGAAAAAUCAGAUACAGUAAAUCGUAGAAGCAGAGUAUGAGGAAAACACAAAUAUUUUACCUUUAAUGGCGAUGGUGCCCCGAGAGUAGUCGCUAGAGUCGCCGCACCAAGAGACCAAAUUCUUUGUCGAGUUAUAUCGAAUUUCUCCUCUUCGAUUUUUUUUUCUACCGCCUCGCCUACUUCUUUUUUUCUUGUGCCGCUUCACGCCCAAACUUCUUUCUUACGUUUGUAUGAGAUAUAAU